UACGUAGGUGGCAAGCGUGUCCGGAAUUAUUGGGCGUAAAGCGCGCGCAGGUGGUUUCUUAAGUCUGAUGUGAAAGCCCACGGCUCAACCGUGGAGGGUCAUUGGAAACUGGGGAACUUGAGUGCAGGAGAGAAGAGUGGAAUUCCACGUGUAGCGGUGAAUGCGUAGAAGAUGUGGAGGAACACCAGUGGCGAAGGCGACUCUUUGGCCUGAUAACUACACUGAGGCGCGAAGCGUGGG
rnacentral:rRNA from 1 species